rnacentral:rRNA from 1 species
AUACGAAGGGUGCAAGCGUUAUCCGGAUUCAUUGGGUUUAAAGGGUGCGUAGGCGGAACAAUAAGUCAGCGGUGAAAGCCCGUAGCUUAACUACGGAAUUGCCGUUGAUACUGUUGUUCUUGAGUACGUUUGACGUGGGCGGAAUGUGCCGUGUAGCGGUGAAAUGCUUAGAUAUGGCACAGAACACCGAUAGUGAAGACAGCUCACGAAGACGAAACUGACGCUGAGGCACGAAAGCGUGGGGAUC